AAGCCAAUCGGGCAGCUAUAAUGCAAGUCGUACGGUAGACGAUCUUUCGGGAUUGUUGAGAGUGGCGCACGGGUGCGUAACGCGUAUGCAACCUACCUUAUACUGAGGGAUAGCCCGGGGAAACCCGGAUUAAUACCUCAUGGUACGAAGGCAUGGCAUCAUGUUUUUGUUAAAGAUUUAUCGGUAUAAGAUGGGCAUGCGUAGGAUUAGCUAGUUGGUAGGGUAACGGCCUACCAAGGCGACGAUCCUUAGGGGUUCUGAGAGGAAGGUCCCCCACACUGGCACUGAGAUACGGGCCAGACUCCUACGGGAGGCAGCAGUAGGGAAUAUUGGGCAAUGGUCGGAAGACUGACCCAGCCAUGCCGCGUGCAGGAAGAAGGCGUUAUGCGUUGUAAACUGCUUUUAUCUGGGAAGAAAAAGCCCCUGCGGGGGAAAUUGCCGGUACCAGAUGAAUAAGCACCGGCUAACUCCGUGCCAGCAGCCGCGGUAAU
rnacentral:rRNA from 1 species